CUUUCAAGAAACAUUUGUCUCUACCAUUCCAUCAUCUAUGUAGCCCCGCCUUCUUUCUAAUUAUCUGACGAAGCCUUGGUAUAAAACGUAUCGUUCGAACAUUUCACCCCAUCAGUUUCACUACUAAACCGUACCGGAUACAUACGGACGCUCGGUGUUAGCAGCUAAAAGGAGGAAAAACAACAUAGUAACGGUCAUCUCGUGCCGGUUGACCCGUGAUGCUGGUGGCUACUACAAAAUACUAAAAUGGCUGGAAUUCUGGACGGAAACCAGUAAACAAGAAAUCGGCAACUGGCACCUUUUGGUGCCUCGCAGUUUUAUUGAAGAAUUGGUAAUUAUUUAGUUGGUAAUUAAUUGGUUUAUUGAAGAAUUGGUAAUUAAUAUCGAUUGUCUAAAUCAUACCGCGCAGCCAAUCACUACCUCUCUUCCCAAACACAGUCGACACUAACGUAUACAAUCGAUCUGACUUUGUUGUUAUUGUUGUUGUCACUUUCUGUUUCCGAUGUUUAUGCUGCUGCUAGCGGAAAAAACCUUGCAAAUAUGCUUCUUUUUGUUGGGGUUAAUUUUACGACAGCGGCCGGCGCCCCAUCAUUUUAAUUCCAAAACCGCACCAGUGACAUGCGGACGCUAGGUGAUAGCAGCUGAAAGGAGGAAAGACAAAAGAGUACCGGUCAUCUCGUGCCGGUUUCACCCGUAAUGCUGGUGGCUUUUAGUAGUAAAUGGCUACUGCAAAACACUUAAAUGGCUGGAAUUCUGGACGGACUAACCAAAAACAAGGAUAUAUUCGGCAACUGGCCCCUUUUGGUGCCUGGAAAUUGUGUAAUAGAAGCGGCUAAUUGAAUUUUCUGUUUUACCAAAUGCUGCUGCUAGCGGAAAAAAACCUUGCAAAAAUGCAUGUUUGUGUUGGUGUUAAUUUUACGACAGCGGCCGGCGCAGCUUUCAAGAAACAUUUGUCUCUACCAUUCCAUCAUCUAUGUAGCCCCUCCUUCUUUCUAAUUAUCUGACGAAGCCUUGGUAUAAAACGUAUCGUUCGAACGUUUCACUCCAUCAGUUUCAUUAUUAAACCGUACCGGAUACAUACGGACGCUCGGUGUUAGCAGCUAAAAGGAGGAAAAACAAAAUAGUACCGGUCAUCUCGUGCCGGUUUCACCUGUUAUGCUGGUGGCUGUUAGUAAUAAAUGGCUACUGCAAAAUACUAAAAUGGCUGGAAUUCUGGACGGACUAACCAGUAAACGAGAAUAAUCGGCAACUGUUACCUUUUGGUGCCUCGAAAUUUCAUUACAGAAGUUAUGUAAAAGAAGCGUUGCAAUUCCCUCUACUAUUUGCUUCAAUGGAAUAUUUUUUUUUUUUUUUAAUAAGAAUACGGUAGUCAACGUCAUGCGGUCGUGUCUUGAAUACCACCCUCCUACUUUUUCAAAGACGAACGAUGGAAUAAAAAUUAUGGUAGAGCUCAAAGAAUUCAGAGAACCAAACGAUAAGUUAAAAAAAGAAUUAAUCACUUGCUUGGUGAUUUUCUCAAGUCGGUAUAUGGAGUGCGUCCGAGCACUUUUCACAAAGAUCUAUUGGCAAUAUCUUUAGUGCAAUCAUACCCAACUUUACAAUCUAAGGUUUCGGAUGUACCACAUGUAUGUAUGAGAGUUGAAUUUCAGUAUGCUUUUUAACGAUGAUUCAAAACUCAUUGCUAUAAACAAAAUUGAACUGCAUGUUUCUUGUUUUUCAAGGCCCUGUGGUUUUAUCGAAAUGCCAGAGGUGACGGCGCUCAUGCAGGUAAAAUACAUUACCGCAUGGAGUAUUUAACUAGGUUGUCUGAUGAAAGAGUCGUUACUAGACGUACCGUUACGAAAGCCACACAGGAGCUUCAAAAUGAAACAAACGAAGGAGAGGGAAUUAGUGAGAUUGACGACAACUCGUUGAUUGAAGAUUUAAAAUAUAUUGUGCCGUCAACGGAAAAUAGAAAACGGAUAAGAUUUCUAUGGGAACAUACCUUCAAAUAUCGAAAUCAAUGCAGAGAGACUGACCAGUUUGAUUUGUUUCUGAAAGAGUUCCCAUCGGCUUCUGCUUUUGAAGGAGAACUGAUUGACAUUGAUUUUUGUAAAAUAAAAAAUCCAAAGGAAGACGCAGAAAACCGUUGGCAGAAUUUGGAGGAUAAAAUUUAGUUCAAGUUUCCGCAUCUUUUCCGUGAAAUUUUCGAUGUUUUUUUUCCGUUCAUUAGCAAUCAUUCGAGUUAAAAAUCCCACAAGAGGUUCUAAGCGAACCUGCGAUGCAGCUGCAACACAGGAAAAUCCUUUAAAUGGGCUGGUGCAAUGGAUAGAAGUUGACGAUACGCUACCUACAAAAUAUACAAUUCCUGUAUUGGUGGUUCAGGGUGAGUUGCUGCAGAGUACGGGAGAUUACUUUAUUUCCUGGAAGCAGCAUAACAUUUCCGUUGGUUGUGAAGCAGUGACUGCUUUUCUACGGUUUUGUAAGUGCUUUAAUGUUUUUGCCGUUAACUGUGUGCCUAAUGAUAAGCAUUUUUUUAUGCAUUAAGGUAUUGGUAUUUAACGUUGAUAAAUUAAGGUGAAACGGGAUUGUGGCCUUUUCCUAUACAAUUUUGAGGUUAGAGUUCUUUUUACUUUUGUAGUUUGAGCGUAAAAAUUUCGGCUUCCACUAAAUAAACAGCACUCGAAUUGCUACUUCAGGCAUGCAACAGUUGUGAAAACAAUUGAUCAAAGUUUCAUGUACGUAGUCUUCAUAAAUCAAGAAAAAAUUAGAUUGCAAAAUUCGAGUUGAUCGCGACCACGUCCCGAUUCACCUUAAGCACAACUGGCGAGAAUUUCGCUCGUUCUUUGCAGUAA